GUCAUAGUCUAGCAGUGAUGUCAUAGUCUAGCAGUGCUGUCAUAGUCUAGCAGUGAUGUCAUAGUCUAGCAGUGAUGUCAUAGUCUAGCAGUCCUGUCGUAUUCUAGCAGUGAUGUCAUAGUCUAGCAGUGAUGUCAUAUUCUAGCAGUCCUUUCGUAUUCUAGCAGUGCUGUCAUAUUCUAGCAUUGAUGUCAUAGUCUAGCAGUGAUGUCGUAGUCUAGCAGUGAUGUCGUAGUCUAGCAGUUAUGUCAUAGUCUAGCAGUGAUGUCAUAGUCUAGAA